ACGGAGGGUGCAAGCGUUAAUCGGAAUUACUGGGCGUAAAGCGCACGCAGGUGGCUGAGUCAGUCGAUUGUGAAAGCCCUGGGCUUAACCUGGGAAUUGCAGUCGAUACUACUCAGCUAGAGUAUGGGAGAGGGUAGUGGAAUUCCCGGUGUAGCGGUGAAAUGCGUAGAGAUCCGGAAGAACACCGGAGGCGAAGGCGGCUUGCUGGGCAUGAUCUGACGCUGAGGCGCGAAAGCGUGGGGAGCAAACAGGA
rnacentral:rRNA from 1 species